CCUACGGGUGGCAGCAGUAGGGAAUUUUGCGCAAUGGGCGAAAGCCUGACGCAGCAAAGCCGCGUGAACGAGACGCCCUUCGGGGUGUAACGUUCUGUCAGUGGGGACGAAAGAUGACGGUAACCACAGCGGAAGCACCGGCUAACUCCGUGCCAGCAGCCGCGGUAAUACGGAGGGUGAAAGCGUUGUCCGGAUCCAUUGGGCGUAAAGAGUUCGUAGGCGGGAUGUUAAGUCUGGUGUUAAAUGCAGAAGCUCAACUUCUGUUCGGCACUGGAUACUGGCAAACUAGAAUGCGGUAGAGGGAAAUGGAAUUCCUGGUGUAGCGGUUAAAUGCUUAGAUAUCAGGAGGAACAUCGGUGGCGUAAGCGCUUUACUGGGCCGUAAUUGACGCUGAGGAACGAAAGCCAGGGUAGCAAAUGGGAUUAGAUACCCUAGUAGGC
rnacentral:rRNA from 1 species